rnacentral:tRNA from 1 species
CAAAAGGUAGUUUAUUAAAAAUAUUAACAUUGGAAGUUAAAAAUUGGGUGUUUAACCUGUCUUUUGA